rnacentral:misc_RNA from 1 species
GGACUACUUGGGUAUCUAAUCCUGUUUGCUCCCCACGCUUUCGCACCUCAGUGUCAGUAUCAGUCCAGGUGGUCGCCUUCGCCACUGGUGUUCCUUCCUAUAUCUACGCAUUUCACCGCUACACAGGAAAUUCCACCACCCUCUACCGUACUCUAGCUCGCCAGUUUUGGAUGCAGUUCCCAGGUUGAGCCCGGGGCUUUCACAUCCAACUUAACGAACCACCUACGCGCGCUUUACGCCCAGUAAUUCCGAUUAACGCUUGCACCCUCUGUAUUACCGCGGCUGCUGGCACAGAGUUAGCCGGUGCUUAUUCUGUCGGUAACGUCAAAACAGCAAGGUAUUAGCUUACUGCCCUUCCUCCCAACUUAAAGUGCUUUACAAUCCGAAGACCUUCUUCACA